rnacentral:rRNA from 1 species
UUCCGGUUGAUCCUGCCGGACCUGACUGCUAUCGGAUUGAUANUAAGCCAUGCGAGUCAUUGUAGCAAUACAAGGCAGACGGCUCAGUAACGCGUAGUCAAUCUACCCUAUGGACGGGAAUAACCUCGGGAAACUGAGAAUAAUGCCCGAUAGAACAUUAUGCCUGGAAUGGUUUAUGUUUCAAAUGAUUUAUCGCCAUAGGAUGGGACUGCGGCCUAUCAGUUUGUUGGUGAGGUAAUGGCCCACCAAGACUAUUACAGGUACGGGCUCUGAGAGGAGUAGCCCGGAGAUGGGUACUGAGACACGGACCCAGGCCCUAUGGGGCGCAGCAGGCGAGAAAACUUUGCAAUGUGCGAAAGCACGACAAGGUUAAUCCGAGUGGUUUCUGCUAAAGAAACCUUUUGUCAGUCCUAGAAACACUAACGAAUAAGGGGUGGGCAAGUUCUGGUGUCAGCCGCCGCGGUAAAACCAGCACCUCAAGUGGUCAGGAUGAUUAUUGGGCCUAAAGCAUCCGUAGCUCGUUUUGUAAGUUUUCGGUUAAAUCCAUGCGCUUAACGUAUGGGCUGCCGGGAAUACUGCAUAACUAGGAAGUGGGAGAGGUAGACGGUACUCGGGAGGAAGGGGUAAAAUCCUUUGAUCUCUUGAUGACCACCUGUGGCGAAGGCGGUCUACCAGAACACGUUCGACGGUGAGGGAUGAAAGCUGGGGGAGCAAACCGGAUUAGAUACCCGGGUAGUCCCAGCUGUAAACUAUGCAAACUCAGUGAUGCAUUGGCUUAUGGCCAAUGCAGUGCUGCAGGGAAGCCGUUAAGUUUGCCGCCUGGGAAGUACGUACGCAAGUAUGAAACUUAAAGGAAUUGGCGGGGGAGCACCACAAGGGGUGAAGCCUGCGGUUCAAUUGGAUUCAACGCCGAAA